AAAACAAAAGCAUUGUAAACAAGGAGGAAAAGCGGAUCGAGAGCAUUAAAAUCCUAUUUGGCGCAUUUCUGCAUUCGGGCAAAAGUCAGUGUUGCGACCGCGGAGACGUAAUCAUCUUACAUCGCAAAAAAACGGAGGACCUAGAACUGAGCGUAUAGCAGCAAGAUGGGUUGUAACAACAGCAAAGGCGCAACAGCAACCACAGGCCCAUCAGAGGGCAAUGGGCAACAGGAGCAAGCCCCCGCAACACAGACGGAAUCUGCGCCAGCACAGAACACAGAUCCCCCCGCCGCCGAGUCUGAACAGACGGAACAAGCAGCAGAAUAGUGAUAGGGAUAAAAUUAAAGCUAGGUCAUUUUCAAUUAUGUAUCACUGGAUCAGUAAAAUGGAUUUUAUUGGCAAAACAGUUUUCUCUUAAACUCAUUUCUUACUAUUCAAAAAGAUAAAGCAAGGAACUUUUAAACCAGUGAAAAAGCACACACACACAAAAGAGCCCACUCAAGGGAGACUAUCCGUCCUGGACUAUUUUUUUUCUUUAGUUACUUUUUUUACCCUGUGAUGUAUUUGUCUUCACAACAUGGUGUGGAUGAACAUGAAUUUAUUGGAAGUCUGACUUAUUCCAAUUUUACUGUGAUGGAUGAAAGUUGAGGAAGAAUGUGUGAGUUAAAAUGCAGAACAUGGAAUGUUGGUGCAUUUUUUUGAUAUAAAUGUAUUACUGUGAUCUAUACCAGUAUUAUACUAUGAAGUACACUGCUAUUGGAAUAUUACUAAUGAUGGACUCUUUAAUGUAUAGACAUGUUUGUGUUGUCACAAUUAAAUUCUGUCUUUAUUUAACUGUAUUGAAAUUGAAUUAUGAUUGACAGCGUAAUAAAAAGUGUUAAUUUCAUCAACUGGCUAUUAUAUAGUUAAAAGUUAAUAAAUUAUUAUAUACACUUUCAA